UCAUUUUGAUUAAAUGAUAGAAAGAUUUGAAGAGACUUUGCAUUUGGUUGAUACUUAUUCAAGAAGAUGGAACUAUAACAUUAAUAUAGUUCUAAUUGCAAACCUCAAUUCAUGUUAAAUGCUACACACCUUCAAGCAAAUGAGCUAUGUUACACAUACAUCCACUUGUCGACGUUUGUUUUAAAUUAUAAUAAUUACCAUUCAAAUGUUAACUUUUCCAAACCAGUUUAAUUUAUUACUCCCCUUUUUUAUUAAGAACAAUUUCAGACUUAUCCCUCCAACAUUUCAAAAUUUUAUAGAUUACCCAACAAAAUUUAAAAUAUCAUAUAUAUAUACAUGCACUUCAAAAUAUACCAUCUAUAUAAUAUAUAAAACUAUGAAUUCCUAUGACCUUAAGCUGAUGUCGCCAACUCUCUUAAUUUCGGGGUAUGCGUCCUACUGAUUUUUUUAUUUUUUUAAAAUUGGCUAGAUUCUUCUAUUAUCUUUUUUUGUCCAUUUUCUUUCUGGAAGAUAAAACACCAUCUCUUUAAUUUGGGCAUGUGAGCCCUACUGAAAAGAUGGACCGUCAUCUAUAGAUAUAUUAAAUCCUAAGUUCUACUGUGGCCUACGUGUCGUC
rnacentral:lncRNA from 1 species